ACGAACGCUGGCGGCUGCUUAACACAUGCAAGUCGAACGGAGUGGCGAACGGGUGAGUAACGCGUGAGCAACCUGCCUAUGACAGUGGGAUAGCCUCGGGAAUCCGGGAUUAAUUCCGCAUAGUCAUUGAUGGGGUCGCGUCUGAUUAGCUAGUUGGUGAGAUAACAGCCCACCAAGGCGACGAUCAGUAGCCGGUCUGAGAGGAUGAACGGCCACAUUGGAACGGAGACACAGUCCAAACUCCUACAGGAGGCAGCAGAGGGGAAUAUUGCACAAUGGGGGAAACCCUGAUGCAGCGACGCCGCGUGAACGAAGAAGGUAUUCGUAUCGUAAAGUUCUGUCCUAUGGGAAGCAGUACCAUAGAAGAAAGCACCGGCUAACUACGUGCCAGCAGCCGCGGUAAUUC
rnacentral:rRNA from 1 species